UACAGAGGUCCCAAGCGUUGUUCGGAUUUAUUGGGCGUAAAGGGCGCGUAGGUCGUUUGGUAAGUCGGAUGUGAAAUCCCAAAGCUUAACUUUGGAACUGCAUUGGAAACUACCAGACUAGAGUCUAGGAGGGGGGAGUGGAAUUCUUGGUGUAGCAGUGAAAUGCGUAGAUAUCAAGAGGAACACCGGUGGCGAAAGCGACUCCCUGGACUAGUACUGACACUGAGGCGCGAAAGCUAGGGGAG
rnacentral:rRNA from 1 species